GACACAAAGGAAGAAAUUCUACAGGUUCAUGUCUUUUUUGUUUUGGUCUGUCUCUGAUUGUAAAAUGUAGGAAGAAAUUUUAUGUUCUCAGUUGGGUUGUAGCUGUUGUUUUGUUUUAUAGUAGAAUUGUAGUGAAACUCCAGCAAUUAUUCUUUUUAAGCUAUUCUAGCAGAUGUUAAGCUUAUUCUUUGACAUACAUGAUGUUAAGUCUUUUGGAAAGCAAAAAAUCAAAAUUUGAUGAUUUCUGAUGCAUUCAUUCAUCUUAUGCAUUUAAUUGUAGGAAAAAGAAACUGGAUAUCUAAUUAUUUCAAGAAACAACAAAGGAUCCUUGAAGGUUGUUUGGUCUUUUCCUCCAUUCGAAUCAAGGUUAAAGUGACCACAUGGCACUUUUUAAAGCCUUUGAAGGAUAGAAGGAUGCAAACCAUAAUGAAAGGAGUCCUGUCACUUUGCAAAUGAC